rnacentral:lncRNA from 1 species
AUCGGGCUUUAUUUAGUGCCACAUCAAGCCAAUGGGUCGGGCCUUAUAGCAUCCAUCACUGGUAUUGAAAUCAUGAAUGAAAUGAUGAUAGAAAAUAGGCAACCUAUCAAAGUUUCUGACAUCAUGAAUGUUGCUGGAGUUGACCAUUCAAUUACUUUUACCUUUUGCUUGUGAUGCCAUUGGCAAAGACAAGAAAGCCUGAGAAGAUCACCUCUAGCUACUUCCAAGUGCACUUCUUCAAGUUCAUUUAAAGUUUUUCUUUCAUUCUUGUAACUUACCAAAGAUGACCUAGGUCUUCUUGUGUCUUACUGUAGACAAGAAUAAUGUCAAAGAAGAUCUAACUUGUCAACAGAUGGCUUUAGGACUUGCUUCGUAACCCAUAUAAAAGUACUUGGUGCAUUGGUUAGACCAAAGGCUAUCACUAUACACUCAUAUUGCCCCUCCUUAGUUUUGAAAGUUGUCUUCCAUUCAGCACUGGGCUGUCCUAAUUUAAUGGUAACCACUCCUUAAAUUGAUUUCGAAAAAGUUGGAUGAGCUAGUUGAUGGUACUUCGUAGUGAUUUUAUUUUAUGGCUAAGGUUUGUAAUCUCAGUACUGAACCUCAUACCAAUACUAUCUUGGUACAAUAUCGAUAUGCUUGGUGUGGAAGUUGGUUAGAUGUACUGAAACUCAAUAUACCCCCCAUACCAGGUACCGAUUUAGUACCAAUACCAUGUGAUCAAGGCAUACCAUCCAAGACCCUGUCUUGGGGAUAUGUAGUACAAGCACUCUAUACAAGACAAGUCUCUCUCAAAUAAAAGACUUUUAUAGUCACCCUGUGACCUAUUGCCUUUAUUUUCUCAUGCUUGGUUGGGUUUAUCUUGCAAUGUGUUAGAUUCCAUGAUGGAGCUUUUAGGGCUAGGUUAAUAGUGUGCUGCAUGUCUGUCAUAGGAGGGAGUUCCAUCUGGUAAGUCCUCAUUGACCACAUUCUUCAAAGUUUGAAAAUAGUUGUUAGAUUUCUGGUGGGUGCUCCUAUUCAACUUCACGAGGUGCCUCAGUUUGGUGACUAUUAAGGUGCAGGCAAAGCCAAUCUUCUUUUCCUAAAAUUCUAACAAGAGAACUUGAUGUUGUCUUUUUGGGUUUCGGCUUUGAUCCCUUGUUUAGCCCUCUAGACCUAAUUCCUAUUCAAAGUGAAGGUGGUAUUAUUUCAUCUGCAAUAAGUAACAUCAUAGUCAUAAAGCCAUGGCCAACCGUGGAGGUGACCUAAACUCCUUGGAUAUCACAUCCAUCAUCUUGCCUCGUCCCAUCUAAAGAGAUAAGAUACUCGUAUUUGAUAAGGAUGGUUUGGUCACUAAACGAAGCUGCACAAUACGGUAUUAAGUGGAGUCAUUUUUUUUAAAAGAAAAGGUGAUUGGAUAGUCUUGAGCCCAAGCUUAUCCAUGAACUCCAAAGAGUGACUCUAAAUACUAUCAUUGUUAAUGAUAAUAAUGAGUAAGCACUCCUAAGUCCUAACAAACAACAUGGUUAUGGUAAGAUGUUUUUUCACCUCCAAUCCACCAUUUUCUCUUUCAAUGGGGUAAUAAGGACUGGGUGAAAAUGUCUGGUUCUCGUCAUACACAAAAGGUUCGUCCUCCUACUCUUCCUUGCGGUCUUUAUCAGCAAACUCUUCUCUUGGCAUCUCUUUGUGCUCCUUCCAACUUUGAUGGUAGUACUCGAAAGCUCUAGUGGACACUCUACAAUUGUAUGUUCAUGUGAUGGACUGCACUUCUCUCGAGAGGUGACUUACUCAGGUCUAAAA